rnacentral:rRNA from 1 species
UACGUAGGGCGCAAGCGUUAUCCGGAAUUAUUGGGCGUAAAGAGCUCGUAGGCGGUUUGUCGCGUCUGCCGUGAAAGUCCGGGGCUCAACUCCGGAUCUGCGGUGGGUACGGGGCAGACUAGAGUGAUGUAGGGGGAGACUGGAAUUCCUGGUGUAGCGGUGAAAUGCGCAGAUAUCAGGAGGAACACCGAUGGCGAAGGCAGGGUCUCUGGGCAUUAACUGACGCUGAGGAGCGAAAGCAUGGGGAGCGAACAGGA